GUUCUUAGUUGGUGGAGCGAUUUGUCUGGUUAAUUCUGUUAACGAAUGAGACCUCAGCCUGCUAACUAGCUACGUGGAGGCAUCCCUUCACGGCCGGCUUCUUAGAGGGACUAUGGCCGUUUAGGCCAAGGAAGUUUGAGGCAAUAACAGGUCUGUGAUGCCCUUAGAUGUUCAACGAGUUCACACCUUGGCCGACAGGCCCGGGUAAUCUUUGAAAUUUCAUCGUGAUGGGGAUAGAUCAUUGCAGUUGUUGGUUUUCAACGAGGAAUUCCUAGUAAGCGCGAGUCAUCAGCUCUCGUUGACUACUUACGUCCCUGCCCUUUGUACACACCGCCCGUCGCUCCUACAGAUUGAAUGAUCCGGUGAAGUGUUCGGAUCACUGAGACGUGGGUGGUUUGCCAUCUGCGACGUCGCGAGAAGUCCACUAAACCUUAUCAUUUAGAGGAAGGAGAAGUUGUAACAAGGUUUCCGUAGGUGAACCUGCAGAAGGAUCAUUG
rnacentral:ncRNA from 1 species